AAUCUUUCUUUGAGACUAGUAUGAUUGCAGGGGACAGACACUGUCGGGAAAAAAAUGUGAUAGAAUUUGAAGUGGCCAAAAAUACUCUCGGAUGUCCUCAAUGGAAAACUAGUGUUUCAUGCCUCACCUUCUGAGCUAUCUGAUUCUCUUGACAACUUUCCUUGUCUCUGGGCUAGUUUACAACUCUGUAAGUUGUUGGUAAAUGAUAGCAAAGUAAAUGUUCCUUGCCUGCAGGCACACUUAUAAAUUCCGUGUGGUAGAAGCCAAUUUAUUUCCACUCUCAAGGAAAAAGGCGUACCUAUUUGACUUGGAAAUUCAUUUCAUGGCCUGUAUUUCUGCUCCUGGAGCUAGUGUAACCUCUUACUUAUUCCCAAAUGAAUUAAACCUUAAAAAAUAUAGCCAUGGCUUUACUACAACUUGUACUGCUGCAUUUAUUUAGUGAACACUCUAUAAGCAUUUGCUAUUUGCUGGGCUCUGGGAAUACCCAGUCUACACGGUCUUCUUCUCCGGGAGCCCACCGCUUAGGAAGAGAGGGAAAAGUAAACCAGCGAUGAGUGUCCAGUACUUAAGGUCUGUGAUAGAAAAGGCUGCACCAAGGUCUAGGAGCACAGAGGAGGGCUGCGUUCCACAUUGUCAGGGUGUGAGGGUGUGUGUCUGGAGAGGGGCAGGGGAGAAAUGUCGUUGGGAUACAGCCACCAGAAUGUGGCAUAUUGAUGGUUCCCAUUAGCAACUUAGAGUGUUCAUACCCUUUCUCCUGAGAGUCUUGGCUGCUAUUGGAAUUUGCAAGGACAGUACCUUUGGGCUACUCGUUGACUGGUGCCCGGGGACAUUGGCUGCUGUGAGGGUCAGUUUCAUGUGUUAACUUGACUGGGCCUCGGGGUGCCCAAACCUUUGGUCAGGCAUUGUUCUGGGUGUGUCUUUGAGGGUGUUUGGGGAUAAGAUUAAAAUUUGGAUCCGUGGACAGAGUAAAGCAGUUGGUUCUCCCCAAUGUGGGUGGGUCUCAGCCCAUCCCUCGAAGGCCUGAAUAGAACAAAAAGGCUGACUCUUCUUCAAGAAGCGGGACCUCCUCCUGCCUGAGUGCUUUGAGCUGGGACUUGAGUGUUUUCCUGCUUUUGGGCUCAUACCAAAACAUCUGCUCUCCUGGGUCCCUAGACUGCCAACAGCAGAUCUUGGGACUUGUCAGUUUCCAUAACUAUGGGAGCCAACUCCUUAUAAUAAAUCUCCUUCUGUAUAUACACUCUGCUCUGUUUCUCUGGAGAAUUCUGAGUAAUAGAGCUGCCUUGGUCCCGGCUGGAUCUCUCUCUUCUCUCCUUCCAGCCCCCACUCCCACCCCCAAAUAGCCCUCCUCCUCUUUUUUCCCUGAUACACCGUAGAAUAAACCGCAAACUGGAGCUCCUUUGUCACCGAGCAAACUCGUAAUCCCAGUUUUCAAGUGUAAUUUUUACAAUAUAUAAACAUUGCAAUGAGGAUGGGACAAAGCUACAGUCCACCUUAAGAGGAGCAGCUCUGGCUUCUAGACUUCCCUUGGACAUACUUUGGAUCCUGGCUGAUGUGUGUUUCAGCUUGCUCAUUCACUGUUGUGUCACUCUGGGUCGUCUCGAGAGAGUCCUUCCCAACGCCAGCCCUGCCGGAUUUGCAUUGUCCUCCUACCAGGCCGGGGUGAUUUCCAGGCCCUCCCGGGACUUGUUCAUGGAUGUCUGAUGACCUAGACCCCCUCUCUGUGCCAGGCCACUCUGGGGUUCUGCCCUCUGCCUGGUGUGGCCCACUAGCCACGGCUCCUUGCUUAGGGCAACUUUGCCUUCUUUUCCUCUCUUGCUAAGGCUUGGUCGUUCUCAAAAGAGUUGUCUCCCAAAGAUGUUCACAUCCUAAUCCUCAGAACCUAUGACUCUAUAGGUUACCUGGCAAAGGAGGAUUAAGGUGACAGAUGGAAUUAAGAUUGCUGAUCAGCUGACCCCUGGUGGGCCCAGUAUAAUCACAAGGCCCUUAAAUGUGAUACCGGAGACAGGAGAGAGCAGAGAAGGAGACGUGAAGGAUACCAUGGUGAUGUGAUCUGGGAAGGAUGAGGUCUAAAGUUACUGGCUUUGAGCAUGAAGGAAGGGGUCACAAGCCAAGGAACGUGGGCAGCCGGUAGAAGCUGGAAAAGGCAAAGAAAUAUGUUUUCCUGGAGUCUCCAGAAGGAGCACUUUGGUUUUAGUCCAGGGAGAUUCGGUUCUGGCUGAAUAGCAGAGUAUAGCAAAGUCUGAGCUGGGUGCCGGAGAGCCCCGGGCGCCAGAGUACUUGAACUUAGCCCUGCUCUCUUGCUCUUGCCCCGUGUCUGCUGGAGCUCUGGGUGCCUCCCAGGUGUCCUUGCCUCCUCAUGGUGCCACUGCUCUCCUGGUGCUCCCCACUCUCUGACGCUCAACUCUGCCCAUCCUGGCCCAGGUCCUACGUCUACAGGUCCCCUGUAGUGAAUAACCCGUUACCCCUACGAGGAGGAAAUGGCCAGGCGAAGUAGGGGAAAGGCGAUUUUUGGACAUAAGUGUAACGUCUGCUCUAGGUCACAUCUGAGAGCUGCACUGUCCAGUUAAAUAUAAGUUAAUAUUCAUUCAUCCACUUAAUUAAAAACUAAGUCCUCUGUUGCACUAGACGCCUUUCAAAGUCACAUGUGGCCAGGGGUUACUGGGCUGGACAGUGCAGAUGUAGGACCUUUCCCUCCCCACAGAAAGUUCUGUUGGGUGGUGCUGCCUCACAGACCAACGGGUCCACUGCCUUCUGAGCGGGGAAAUUGAGGCACAGUGGACCAGGGCUUGGACUCCAGGCUCAGUGCUCUGAUCAGUUCAUCGUUCGAAGCCUCUGGCAGACGAGAAUUCAGGGUGCACAUUUCAGCGGCGAGAAGACGCCUAGAGUGAAUAAAUAAUGAGAUCGCCACGGUUUCGGAGGAAAAAGAUCUCUAAAUCCUUGAGACGAUUGCAACGCAAUCCUGAAAGCUGAUGGAGAGGGGGGCCAAGGAUUGAGUUACUCCUGCCUUGUUUGCUUCUUGAUACUUCCCUUUUCUUGCUCCAGUCCAUUUCUUCCAUCCACUCCUUCCAUGGGCAGCCAUGUUUCUUUUUAGAGAGACAGAGCAUGAACGGGGGAGGGGC